CUUGGAAGGCCCUGUUCCAUGCUUCCGUGGGGUCCAAUGUAUCUCCUUAGUGUUUCUGAAAGACAGCGGGGUCCUUGAGAUGUCUGAAGAGCACGUCAGGUCUUCUAACGCUGAGCCUUCCAAUCAGCAGACAUUAGUCAAGUUAUACCUUUCUAGUGGAAGAGGAUACCGAUGUGCAAUCCAAUGAGAAACACCUGGAGAACCUAUCUAGACACUCUGCUGCUAACGUGGUGGGGUCGGAUGCUGGGAUAUCAAAGGAAUAAUCAAAUAAUGUAAAGCAAAGGUGGCCUGUAUCCAGACUCCCUGCAUCAAAGGACCCUCUCAUUACAGGAUUUGCUCCCAAGGAAUCUAUUUGAAAAAUUCCUACUCAAAUAAAAAGAGUAAAGGCAAAUGUGACCAAUAUUGGCCUUCAUCCAUCCCGAAGUGUGACUCCAGCGACCCCAGAGGCCAAGUCUGCUGAUUCAAGGAGUGCUUAUAAGCAGGCCAUGAUCUUUCUCCCAAAAUCCACUGUCCUCUUGCAUCUGAAAGAAAGAUCUGGUCACUAAAUUCACCCAGCAAUUCUGUGACAAGACAAGCUGAUGAUUUUCCGGGUAAUGUGUGCCUUGCCCCAGUGGGUGCACAUGUGGCUCAGAGCACAGACUGUACGGAUGUCUACUGCAAGUCAUUUGGCCGAGGAAGAGCUUGAACUCACUCUUCAUGCUUCUGUCCCUUUCAAUCAUAUAGCACAUGACAAAGUGUUUCAGUAAUAGUUGCUGAUUUAUUUUUAUACCCUCAGGGUCUGGUAGAACAGGGGAGAUUCUAUGGGUCCAGAAUCCCUGGUCAGUGAGAAGGUAACAUUUGAGGCAACUCGAGCCACUGUUGUGGUUGAUUUACUCAUCUAGCAUACAUCUCUGGGCUGGUAGUUCUGUGUUUCACCUGAGUCAGGAAUGUGGUUAAGAUUGAUAUCCAUAUUCACAGAGGGUCUAUACAUAGAUUGGCAUGGCAGAAAGAUGCAAAUCAAUCAAUGAAUCAAGUGAU